ACCAAUUUUGUAUCCACACUGUGUGCUAGGUAAAACCAGAUGAAACCAAGAGGAAGGAGAUUGAACAAAUUAUAGCCAAGGAUAUGAACAAGAAUUUUCUUCGUUCAGGUCAAUCGGAUCCACAUGAGAUCUUUAGCCCUGUGUGGUAUGGAGGUGUGUAACGUACCAAUGUCGGAAGAUUUACCUUCCUCAUGUGGCGUGGCAUGACUUUCAUACGAAAACCACAUGAGGGAAAGGAUGACCCAUCGUUACUGAACCUGGACAGAUGGGAGCAUUCAUUUCCUGAGCAAUUUGUGCCCCAUUCACUUGCUUUGGGCUUUCGACAUCCAAUUUGUGGAGCAGAUGUUCGACACGGAGUCACAAGGUUUGUUUUCUUGGCCAAAUUCCAAGGACGCUGCUGGGAAUUUGUAUGUGAUGAUGGGCUUUUGGAGUCCCAUCACUGGCAAAACUGCCAAGAUACUUGGCCUCGUGAGAAGACUUUCUACUCGGGGAAUUUAAACACAAAGUCUGCUUGCCUCUGUUCAGAACAUAGACAUGGCUUUCUCUAUGCCUGCUUUCUCCUAUAUCCUUCUCAUACAGGCUUCUCCCAUGUUUAAAAUACACUUUCCUUUCUCCUUCAGAUUCCUCCUUAAAAACAUCUUGGUUUGUGAACUCAGGAGUUUUCUUUCUGUGGCAGUGUUUUGAUGGCAGCUUUGGUUUUCUUCACAGUAUCAUUUUCCUCCUGUGAAACCUUGGAUAACACUCGAAAUUUCUGCAUUCCCUGAGUUUGUUGCCCAUAAAAUACAGGUACAAAUAGAGAUUGUUGGUGUCAUUGUGGAAAUUAUUCAGGUUUAUGAACCAUACUGAAAAAUACUACUGGAAAGAUAAGCCCAAUGCUAUUAUCUCUCUACAACAGCGAAGUGAAUUAUGGACUCAGUGGAAAAGAGAUGCAAGUUAGUGCAGAGUCAGUCUCUUUCCGCUUCUAUCACAUGUAAUAGAAACAUCUAAGCAUCUCAUUAUUUUUUUUUUUGCUUUUAUUAGUAAAAUGAGUAACUUCUGAAAGGUUAGUGGAAACUUACUAUAG